UCAAUAGUAAUAUUCAGAACAAUAGACAUGCUAGACCAUGUAAAUAAGUAGAAACCAGGAGAGCUCUUUAUUGAAAUUGGGGGCAACUUGGGCUGCACUGAAAUGGGGUGUAACCCCUCCUCAUCCUGUUGUGCAGUACGGACCAUACGAUGUAUGAGGAAUGUGGGACUCCAGUGGUGGAACGAGGGAGCUUUGUCCAUGGCGAGCAUUCCAAUGCCCACGGUGACAGUAGCCACCAAAACGGCAGUGACCGCGACGAGCAC
rnacentral:lncRNA from 1 species